rnacentral:rRNA from 1 species
CCGGCACGGGUGGAGUAACACGUAUGCAAUCCACCUGUAACAGGGGGAUAACCCGGAGAAAUCCGGACUAAUACCCCAUAAUAUGGGCGCUCCGCAUGGAGAGCCCAUUAAAGAGAGCAAUUUUGGUUACAGACGAGCAUGCGCUCCAUUAGCCAGUUGGCGGGGUAACGGCCCACCAAAGCGACGAUGGAUAGGGGUUCUGAGAGGAAGGUCCCCCACAUUGGAACUGAGACACGGUCCAA